rnacentral:tRNA from 2 species
AGUAAAGUAAGCUAAAACAAGCUUUUGGGCCCAUACCCCAAAAAUGUGGGUUAAAAUCCCCCUUUUACUA